rnacentral:rRNA from 1 species
AUUGAACGCUGGCGGCAGGCCUAACACAUGCAAGUCGAGCGGAUGACGGGAGCUUGCUCCUUGAUUCAGCGGCGGACGGGUGAGUAAUGCCUAGGAAUCUGCCUGGUAGUGGGGGACAACGUUUCGAAAGAAACGCUAAUACCGCAUACGUCCUACGGGAGAAAGCAGGGGACCUUCGGGCCUUGCGCUAUCAGAUGAGCCUAGGUCGGAUUAGCUAGUAGGUGAGGUAAUGGCUCACCUAGGCGACGAUCCGUAACUGGUCUGAGAGGAUGAUCAGUCACACAGAACUGAGACACGGUCCAGACUCCUACGGGAGGCAGCAGUGGGGAAUAUUGGACAAUGGGCGAAAGCCUGAUCCAGCCAUGCCGCGUGUGUGAAGAAGGUCUUCGGAUUGUAAAGCACUUUAAGUUGGGAGGAAGGGCAGUAAGUUAAUACCUUGCUGUUUUGACGUUACCGACAGAAUAAGCACCGGCUAACUCUGUGCCAGCAGCCGCCGUAACAC